rnacentral:rRNA from 1 species
UACGAAGGGGGCAAGCGUUGUCCGGAUUCAUUGGGCGUAAAGAGCGUGUAGGCGGUCAGGUAGGUCGGUUGUGAAAACUGGAGGCUCAACCUUCAGACGUCGACCGAAACCCCCUGGCUAGAGUCCGGGAGAGGAGAGUGGAAUUCCUGGUGUAGCGGUGGAAUGCGCAGAUAUCAGGAAGAACACCCGUGGCGAAAGCGGCUCUCUGGGACGGUACUGACGCUGAGACGCGAAAGCGUGGGGAGCGAACAGG